rnacentral:rRNA from 1 species
GGGUUGUGAGGUUAAGCGACUAAGCGUACACGGUGGAUGCCCUGGCAGUCAGAGGCGAUGAAGGACGUGCUAAUCUGCGAUAAGCGUCGGUAAGGUGAUAUGAACCGUUAUAACCGGCGAUUUCCGAAUGGGGAAACCCAGUGUGUUUCGACACACUAUCAUUAACUGAAUCCAUAGGUUAAUGAGGCGAACCGGGGGAACUGAAACAUCUAAGUACCCCGAGGAAAAGAAAUCAACCGAGAUUCCCCCAGUAGCGGCGAGCGAACGGGGAGGAGCCCAGAGCCUGAAUCAGUGUGUGUGUUAGUGGAAGCGUCUGGAAAGGCGCGCGAUACAGGGUGACAGCCCCGUACACAAAAAUGCACAUACUGUGAGCUCGAUGAGUAGGGCGGGACACGUGGUAUCCUGUCUGAAUAUGGGGGGACCAUCCUCCAAGGCUAAAUACUCCUGACUGACCGAUAGUGAACCAGUACCGUGAGGGAAAGGCGAAAAGAACCCCGGCGAGGGGAGUGAAAAAGAACCUGAAACCGUGUACGUACAAGCAGUGGGAGCCUCUUUUAUGGGGUGACUGCGUACCUUUUGUAUAAUGGGUCAGCGACUUAUAUUCUGUAGCAAGGUUAACCGAAUAGGGGAGCCGAAGGGAAACCGAGUCUUAACUGGGCGUUAAGUUGCAGGGUAUAGACCCGAAACCCGGUGAUCUAGCCAUGGGCAGGUUGAAGGUUGGGUAACACUAACUGGAGGACCGAACCGACUAAUGUUGAAAAAUUAGCGGAUGACUUGUGGCUGGGGGUGAAAGGCCAAUCAAACCGGGAGAUAGCUGGUUCUCCCCGAAAGCUAUUUAGGUAGCGCCUCGUGAAUUCAUCUCCGGGGGUAGAGCACUGUUUCGGCAAGGGGGUCAUCCCGACUUACCAACCCGAUGCAAACUGCGAAUACCGGAGAAUGUUAUCACGGGAGACACACGGCGGGUGCUAACGUCCGUCGUGAAGAGGGAAACAACCCAGACCGCCAGCUAAGGUCCCAAAGUCAUGGUUAAGUGGGAAACGAUGUGGGAAGGCCCAGACAGCCAGGAUGUUGGCUUAGAAGCAGCCAUCAUUUAAAGAAAGCGUA